rnacentral:rRNA from 1 species
CCUACGGGUGGCUGCAGUGGGGAAUAUUGGACAAUGGGGGCAACCCUGAUCCAGCCAUGCCGCGUGUGUGAAGAAGGCCCUCGGGUUGUAAAGCACUUUCAGUGAGGAAGAACGCCUGGUGGUUAAUACCCAUCAGGAAAGACAUCACUCACAGAAGAAGCACCGGCUAACUCCGUGCCAGCAGCCGCGGUAAUACGGAGGGUGCGAGCGUUAAUCGGAAUUACUGGGCGUAAAGCGCGCGUAGGUGGCUUGAUAAGCCGGUUGUGAAAGCCCCGGGCUCAACCUGGGAACGGCAUCCGGAACUGUCAAGCUAGAGUGCAGGAGAGGAAGGUAGAAUUCCCGGUGUAGCGGUGAAAUGCGUAGAGAUCGGGAGGAAUACCAGAGGCGAAGGCGGCCUUCUGGACUGACACUGACACUGAGGUGCGAAAGCGUGGGUAGCAAACAGGAUUAGAUACCCUGGUAGUC